UAUAUGUCAAUAGCUGGUUUUGGUGUACACAUUUAGAUGGACAUAUUCUUAAUGCUCGGUUGUUGUGCAUGACUUUCUCCCUUUUCAUCUUUCUCUUAUGGUUGAACCCUCCUCCCUUAUUACGGGGAAGAUGAAGCAGUGAAUAGGAGGCAAUUGUGGAAGCAGGGGGGGAUAUUAUCAAUUGACUCUUUUCAAAGCCUUAAGUUUUAUCACCCUCACUUUUUUUUGCAUCUUAUUUGUUUGUAUGGGCUAGUUAUGUUAUUUUUCUGCAACAGGUGUUGUAAUUCUUGGCUUAGGUGUAUAGCAAUGAAUAAAAAAUCAUAUUUGUUUUUCCCCCUACUCGAUCUGGUGGAGUUGGUUCAUGCAGGGAUUUUGUCAAAUUGUAUGUACUGAAUUUGUCUUUACUUUCAUUAUGCAAAGAUCUAUUAUUCAGGCC